GCCGAGUCCAAGUUGAGCAACCGGCGUCGAGAGAGACACCGCCCCUGCUGCGGGCGGGGGCCUCUCCUCGCUUCCGAUUGGCUGACGGGGGGAACCUAUCGCCGUCGGCCGCCUCCGCCAGAGCGGUUUGCUGGUUUUCAUUCAUUGGCCCCGGAGCCGCCCCUGGAUUUCCAUCUUUUGUGGCGCGAAAAUAACCCUUUGCUCCCUCGUUGGUUUUGUUGAGGUUGAGGGGUGGGACUGUGUUCCCCUCUGCUCGCUCUCGUUUUUCCUGCCCUUUAACAGCUCGCCCCCAGCCCCAACCCCCAAGGAAGAAAGAGGGAGGUAACGCUGAGGAAGGGUGGAAAGCAGUUCUGCGUCCGUGGGUGGAGCCCGCCCCUUGGCUGACCGCAUGGUGCCCGCACGGUCCCUUCCCUUCCCCCAGCGUCCAGCGCCCGGAGGUUCUGGAUUUGCGCCAUGCUCAGCAGCUGGAGUCACAUCUUCGUUUCCCUGCCCAUUUCCAACAUCUUAGAGUUGAUGCGUCCUUUUUUACUUAAAACAACUACAACCAACCAUGUUCUCAGGUACCAGAACUUUUCUGGGCUUCUAGAGAAAUCGACUCGCCCUGCCCGCUCCCUUCCUAAACCCCUUUGUGGUCCACAGGGUUGUUUUAAGCAAAAUCAAACAACCCCUCCAAAAAAAGCAAACGAAAAAUUCCGGGUAAAAUCAACUAUGCUGAGACCACGUUUUCGUUGAAGCUGCCCUAAGACCAAUGAAGCUGAGACCGACCUUCAAGGAUUAACGAUUUCUGUAGCUGAAAUGUUCUAAUUUCACUGACGUUUGGUGGAGACGGUGAGAAAAAAUAAAUAUGAAUUUGACUUGGAAAAGCACAAAACAAACGAAAUAAUAAUAUUUAAUUUGAUUAACUGAGAAGGCAAACAGCCACAGUGGUGUAUUCUAGGUACUGGUGUCUUUGGUGAGUUUGUAAUUAUAUAAAUAAAUUGCUGUUGGUUUCAUCAAAAAUACAGAUCAGAACUCUGGCCGUGACAAAAAAGGAAGGAAGUAUAAAUUUGUUUGGUAUAUCUAAUUUUAUAACAGACUUUACCAACCUUUCAUUAUCUGGAGAAAAGGAAAUGUACCAGUUAACAAUAUAAGUUAAUUUGUUUGCAGAUAAUUGUUCAUUUUUUGUCUUGACAAAAUACUCUGUUUGGUUAAAAACGGUAAAAUGAUAAUUCAGUAAAUAUUUAAAACUUUGAGAGAAUUGGUUUAAAUCAGGGAGUUCAAAGAUUUUCUCUGUGUUGUUUACUCUUAGUGAUGUUACAUCUUGUGAUGUUACAUCUUCUUCUGAGUGCUUUUGAAAAAAUUAUUAGUUCUGUGUUAGUCUCUAAAAACUAAAGUAACAUAAAUUGCCAUGUACCAAAAUUUUAAAACAAAUUUUAACAACUGAAUUGGUUAGUAAAGAAAAACUACUUUAAAGUAGAAGUAAUCAUUAAACAUAUUUUAUUUACAUUUGUAUAUUUCAACUACAUUUCACUAAUGUGGUUGAUAGUAUUUUUGAACUUGUCAUGUAAAAUUAUUCAUCAGAAACAUUAGAAUAACUUAGAAAUGGUUUGAGUUGAGUAAAUUAAUUAAAACUUAAGGACUGAAUUUGUAGUAUGCUAAAGAUUAUAGAGUUAAUAAUUUAAAUAAUCCUUUAUCACCUAAGAAAUUUAAAUUGUGAAGAUAUGAUUAUUUGUGAAAUGAUUCUAGGUUGCAAUUUAUAUAUUCAAUUAUUUUUAUAUUUUGGAAAUGAUACAGUAGAAAACUAUUGAGGAAUUUAUUAGAGAAAAUUGUGAUUGUAAAAAAAAAGUCAAAAUUAAUCAUUUAGACAAGCCAAGACUCUAAAACCUGGUAUAUUUUUUAAUGUUUUCUCAAAAUCAAAGAUUUAUACAAUCAAUAUUUUAAAAAAACAAACAAAAAACUGUUCUGUUUGAGAGAAACUCAUUUUUUAAAUUUUCAACUACUAAGUCAGGAAUUGGAAUUUUUAUCUGGUAAACAUGCAUAGUUGUUAAAGUAGUAGAUAAGCAUGAGUACUUUUAUUGGAAUUAUAUCCUGUAUUAAUACUACUUCACUUAGGUGAAAACUUUAAAAUACUCAUUCUUCUGGAGAGGGGGUGGGAAGGAUGAGACCUUCAAUAAAGACUCUUUGGUGAUUAGUGUGUACAUAUGUAUUUGCAGACCAGCCAUAGAAAACAGAGGGUAGGCAUUUGUUUAAUAGGGGUAAUAGGGGGAGGGGUCUGGGGAAACUGGAAAGAUUAGGGUAUUUAAUCUUGUUUCUUGGUUGCAACUCAUUUAUCCUGCAGGUUUCCUUGCUCAGUGUGGAAGGAAGAGGGUAGAGAGAGAAUGUAUUAACUAAUGGUGUAAAAUGGGAAAGUAAUCCAUGCAUGAAAUCCUACUGGAAAGAACAGUAAGAACCCACUCUCCCCACUAAAAUAAUCUGAAAACAAAGCACAUGCUGAGGUUAUGGCUAGUUUUCAGCACUCUCUAACACCUACAUUUAAAAGACACAUGCUAGGUUGCUGUGUUCAUAUUUGGACCCUUUGUUUUCUUGACCAUUUCUAUUCCAGAAACUAAUUCCAAAAAUCUCAGGAAUUAAAGAUUCUUUAAUAAAACAGCAGAUCUCAUGACAUAUAUUUACAUACACAUUAACUCUUUCUAGGCAGUCUUUAAGGUAAAUUGAUGAAUGCCUCAUGCUAUCUAUAAAUGUAAAGUUAAUUUUUAGAUGUACUAAGGCAGAAUCAAUUUUACAAUUCCUUACUUGCAAGAUGAUAAUAGAUCAUAACCAUUUCCAUUUGGACUGAUUAAAAUUCAUUCCUUCUUUAUUUUAGUUUACAUUUUGGUCCUAAGCUGCUCUCUAGCAUGAUGAUCCUAGCUUUAAAGAGGGAAACAGCAGGCUAAGUAAGGGGUUUUUGUUUUUUGGUUCUAGUUCAAAAAUCUCAGCUGAAGUUCAUAAAGAAUCUGAGCGCAUAAGAUAAAGUAGAGAAAAACAAAACUUAAUCAUCUUUCUCACAAUCUACACUAUAAAAAAUUUGUCCUGAAAUUCAUGCCUAACAUACUUCUACUGAAACAUUGACUUCUUUUUUUAUAUAUAUAGAGGAUUGUUUAAAUAUAAACACAUGUAUAUUCUUAAUCUGUGUAUAUUCUUAAUCCCCAAUGUGAUUGUUGGCACUAUCACAUUGGGGAUUAAGAAUACACAGAGAGAGAGAGAGUUUUUCUUGCUUUUUCUCAACUGACUUAAAUUUCAUGAUCAAUUAUUUCUAAGUUGACAAUACUAGUGCCUUCUUAAAGGCAAAAUUUUGUUUGAACUGAGGUUUAAUUUAAUACCAAUAAUUGGAUCUGAUUGAUAAUUUCCAAUUCUUGAUUGAUUUUGUUUUGGUGGGUGGGGGAGGGGUCUUGUGUCAUUCAUUGAAGCAGUUUUUCUGUUUUUUAAUACUUUUUUAUUUGUAGGGUAAACUACUCAUAUAUUAUUUGUAACUUAAAAUCUUUUUCCUAGCACUUUCCAAGACUUGAAGAAUAAUUUAAAAGUAACUAAAUCUUACUUAUAAGAUUUGAAUAAAGACUUUUUAAAUUGUGUACAACUUAAUAUAAAUAAAUAUGAAAUAUUUUGUGUUUUAAUCAUCCAUUAAGCUGAAAUAACUGCAUGGUCCCUUUUUUAUAAGUAGCCUAAAUCUAAUCCAGCUAUUAGAAAUCUAAUUCAUAAAAAAGAUACCAACGAAGUAACAAUUCAUAAAAGCCAAAAAAAUCAGUUUUUGUUAUAACAGAAAUAGAUACUGUUUCUGUCAUCUGGUGAACAUUUUGUUAUUAGACAAUUAAGUACAGAAUGACAUUACCAUGUUUUGUUUUCGUUUGUUCAAAAUUGCCUAGAAUUUUGUCCCUUGACUCUGUUACCAUAUAUCUGAUGGUAAUUUCUUUGCUUUUGUAUUUCUUUGCUACCAAGAUUCAAAUAAUAUCUUUGCUUUUCAUUUAAAUAAAUAUCUGUAAAAAGCCAAAUAGAAAAUAAACUGAAGCAUCAAAAGUUGUAGUGUAGUACACUGUAAGUGCUUAUUUCUGCAACCAUAGUGAUAUAUUCAAGUUUUAUUUUAAUCUCGUCAAUAUAGUGACUUUUUUAAAAAGAUUAAAUUGAAUUUUGUUUUAAAUAUUAAUUAAGCAAAAAAAAAGUCGAGUA
rnacentral:lncRNA from 1 species